GCAUAGUUCAGUGGUUAGAGUAUUUGCUCUGCAUGCGGAAGGUACCAGAUUCAAUCCCUGCCAUAAACA